GAUGAACGCUAGCGGGAGGCCUAACACAUGCAAGCCGAGCGGUAUUGUUUCUUCGGAAAUGAGAGAGCGGCGUACGGGUGCGGAACACGUGUGCAACCUGCCUUUAUCUGGAGGAUAGCCUUUCGAAAGGAAGAUUAAUACUCCAUAAUAUAUUAAUUGGCAUCAAUUGAUAUUGAAAACUCCGGUGGAUAGAGAUGGGCACGCGCAAGAUUAGCUAGUUGGUGAGGUAACGGCUCACCAAGGCAAUGAUCUUUAGGGGGCCUGAGAGGGUGAUCCCCCACACUGGUACUGAGACACGGACCAGACUCCUACGGGAGGCAGCAGUGAGGAAUAUUGGUCAAUGGGCGCAAGCCUGAACCAGCCAUCCCGCGUGAAGGAUUAAGGUCCUAUGGAUUGUAAACUUCUUUUGUAUAGGGAUAAACCUACCCUCGUGAGGGUAGCUGAAGGUACUAUACGAAUAAGCACCGGCUAACUCCGUGCCAGCAGCCGCCGCAGUAA
rnacentral:rRNA from 1 species